rnacentral:rRNA from 1 species
UAGCAAUACGGCAGCGGCAGACGGGAUAGUAACACGUGGGAACGCGCCCUUCGGUUCGGAAUAACUCAGGGAAACUUGAGCUAAUACCGGAUACGCCCUAACGGGGAAAGAUUUAUUGCCGAAGGAACGGCCCGCGUCCGAUUAGCUAGUUGGUGAGGUAAUGGCUCACCAAGGCGACGAUCGGUAGCUGGUCUGAGAGGAUGACCAGCAUCACUGGGACUGAGACACGGCCCAGACUCCUACGGGAGGCAGCAGUGGGGAAUAUUGGACAAUGGGCGCAAGCCUGAUCCAGCCAUGCCGCGUGGAUGAUGAAGGCCCUAGGG